UACGGAGGGGGCUAGCGUUGUUUGGAAUUACUGGGCGUAAAGCGCACGUAGGCGGCUUUGUAAGUUAGAGGUGAAAGCCCGGGGCUCAACUCCGGAAUUGCCUUUAAGACUGCAUCGCUCGAAUUGUGGAGAGGUAAGUGGAAUUCCGAGUGUAGAGGUGAAAUUCGUAGAUAUUCGGAAGAACACCAGUGGCGAAGGCGACUUACUGGACACAUAUUGACGCUGAGGUGCGAAAGCGUGGGGAGCAAACAGG
rnacentral:rRNA from 1 species